rnacentral:lncRNA from 1 species
CAAGAAGAUGUGGUAUAAUGAUUGUCAAUGAGACCAACUAUCCACCAACAAUGAAUGACUAUUUUCUGUAUUUCAAACCACUUAUCGUCCUGAACAUGCAUUAAAUUUCACGAAACUAAAAAAAAUCAUGAAAAUAAAAAAAAAUUAGUUUGAUUGACUGAUUGAUUGAUUGAUUGUUGGUUGCUUAACGUCCAGUGGCAAAUAUUUCAUGCAUAUUCAGGACGAGAACAAGUUCACAAUAAAUACAAUAGGUAGGUUGUUGUAAUAGAGGCCAUCCAGGAUGAUGGUCGGGGAAAUUUGGACUGCCACUGGAAAAUGAGGGUAUAUUGGAUAGGGACAGAAAUUUUGCCUUGCAACAGGUCACCUACGGACCCCUCAAA